UACAUGGGAAAGGUCUGCUGCAUUGUGGAA
rnacentral:piRNA from 1 species